CUGUUAACUUUUGAAUCAAAACUGGAAUGGUUUGUUACCUUAGCCUUUCACUUUAUUUGGAAUUUUAGAUAAAUAUUCUAAUAAAGCAUAGAUAAAUAUCUAAUAAAAGAUAAUGACUGUGAUAUCUCUUCAGUAAUAGUAGAUAACUAUGAUAAUCAGAAAAUAUGGCCCAGGCAAAAUUAUGAAGAGGAUGAUGUUUUUCCUGGUAUCUUCAGCUAUCUGAUUCUUUCCAUAUGUUAAGAGUAUUCCUUAUUGUUCCUCUCAGAUAUUCAUGGAGGAGAGCACUCUGGCUGUGAUACUGCUUGAUUCCAUUAGAUAUUAUUCAGCUAACUUGACUGUAUGGGACAUGGAAGCAGUUUAUUAAAAUGGCAGAACUCAACAAAUACGCAGAGUGACUACUCUGGAAAGACAGUUGACUGAUAUCAGACUUGUGCAUAGUAAAAUCUUCACCACCCAUCCCCCACUCCUGACUUUCUAUCUGUAUGUGAAAAUCUCUCUGCAUCAGCCAAUAACAAGAAACAGCCUCCAGCUGGAUCUGGUUGAGCCAGACUAAAUUGCAUUUGAUUCAUUGACUUUGCUGCAAUUGGUCUGUAUAACAGUAUGGCAGAGAUCCAGCAUUGCAAUCCUUUUGUUCAUGGCAUUAAAAUGGUAUGUAGUAAGUUAGACUGAGUCUUUUGGAAUCAUUUUUAUUUGCUCAUAUAAAAAUUAUAAGACUUUGAAAUCUUACAAAUACCAACUGUGUAUAUGCAUAGAUGCACACACACACACACACACACACACAUACAUCAAGGAAGUUUGACACUUUCUACACAUGUUGAAUCAUAGCAGCAUCUUUAGAGAAUGUUUUCUCUAAAGUUCAUUUUACUCAUUAGUUUAUAAUAUAUUAAAUGUUGUGAUUAUUAUAUGCCAUAUAUUAUGCUAGAUGCUUUCAAAUCAUUAGUUCUUUCAGUCUCAUAGAAAAUCUCAUCAAAGCCAGUACUAUUAUUAUCAUCCUCAUUAAUAGCUGAUGGCAGUGGCAAGGGGGAAGUUAAGUA
rnacentral:lncRNA from 12 species